GCCUAACACAUGCAAGUCGAGCGAGGAAUGACAGGUAGCUUGCUACCGGUUAUUUCUAGCGGCGGACGGGUGAGUAACGCGUGAGCAACCUGCCUUUAUCAGGGGGAUAACGCAUCGAAAGAUGUGCUAAUACCGCGUAAGACCACAGCUUCACAUGGAGCAGGGGUCAAAGGAGCAAUCCGGAUAAAGAUGGGCUCGCGUCCGAUUAGCUAGUUGGUGAGAUAACAGCCCACCAAGGCGACGAUCGGUAGCCGACCUGAGAGGGUGAUCGGCCACAUUGGAACUGAGAUACGGUCCAGACUCAUACGGGAGGCAGCAGUGGGGAAUAUUGCACAAUGGGCGAAAGCCUGAUGCAGCAACGCCGCGUGAGCGAUGAAGGCCUUCGGGUCGUAAAGCUCUGUCCUCAAGGAAGAUAAUGACGGUACUUGAGGAGGAAGCCCCGGCUAACUACGUGCCAGCAGCCGCCGUAA
rnacentral:rRNA from 1 species